rnacentral:rRNA from 1 species
UGAUGACGGCCUUAGGGUUGUAAAGCUCUUUCGCUAGGGACGAUAAUGACGGUACCUAGACAAGAAGCCCCGGCUAACUUCGUGC